CGAACGCUGGCGGCAGGCCUAAUACAUGCAAGUCGAACGGCUCUUCGGAGCAGUGGCGGACGGGUGAGUAACGCGUGGGAAUGUGCCCUUUGGUACGGAACAACACAGGGAAACUUGUGCUAAUACCGUAUGUGCCCUUCGGGGGAAAGAUUUAUCGCCAUUGGAGCAGCCCGCGUUGGAUUAGGUAGUUGGUGAGGUAAAGGCUCACCAAGCCGACGAUCCAUAGCUGGUCUGAGAGGAUGAUCAGCCACACUGGGACUGAGACACGGCCCAGACUCCUACGGGAGGCAGCAGUAGGGAAUCUUGCGCAAUGGGCGAAAGCCUGACGCAGCCAUGCCGCGUGUAUGAUGAAGGUCUUAGGAUUGUAAAAUACUUUCACCGGGGAAGAUAAUGACGGUACCCGGAGAAGAAGCCCCGGCUAACUUCGUGCCAGCCGCCGCGGUAAGAC
rnacentral:rRNA from 1 species